UACGGAGGGUGCAAGCGUUAUCCGGAUUCACUGGGUUUAAAGGGUGCGUAGGCGGGUUGGUAAGUCCGUGGUGAAAUCCCCAAGCUUAACUUGGGAACUGCCGUGGAUACUAUCAAUCUUGAAUAUCGUGGAGGUAAGCGGAAUAUGUCAUGUAGCGGUGAAAUGCUUAGAUAUGACAUAGAACACCAAUUGCGUAGGCAGCUUACUACACGAUCAUUGGACGCUGAGGCACGAAAGCGUGGGGAGCAAACAGG
rnacentral:rRNA from 1 species